ACAUCGUCUCCUCGGCCGGACGCCAGCCGUCCCUGCAGACAGCAGUUGCCAAGGGCUGGAGAGAUGGCAAAACAAGGAAAGAAGAAGGAGAAAGCACGCCCGGGCCAUCUGACUCUGUGUCUCAUUAACCAAGAAGCAGAAACACAGAAUCGGCCAAGUAUGGCUCAGAGGAGCUCUCAGUGUAACCAUUUCUAGAUGUUUUGGAUGCAGAGUGAACCUGUGCAGCUGAUUAUAAGCUAACUGUAUCAAAGUUACCAACCAGCUGCCAGGAAAGCUGUGGUUAACUUUACCAAGAGAAAGCUGCAGCAGUCAACAGAGAACUUCAGGAGCCCCAAGACUAGAAAACUACCCCCUGAUGAGGAGUCAUUUAAAGGCACCUCACUGUAAAAUUUCAUAUGUGUGUCAACUUAAAGUAUGAACGGAAUGGCUGCCAUGCAAUCAAGAAAAGUUGUAACGACUAUUAUGAAACAGACAUGUUUUGAGCUGUAUUUGAACAAAGAGAAAGUUUUUGUGAUAUGUGGAAAAAUAUCUGGUUGCAGGCAUCGUUCUUUGAGCUCCCCCUUGAGUGAAAGAUCCCCUAACAUCGCUAAGGCACAGUUCAUCAACCUUAUGUAGUAAACUCUUCAACAAUCUUGAUAUUUCUGUUGUGGUUCAUAUUUCAUGACUAUAACUGAAAGUACAUGGACAAGUAAAUAAAGAGACUUACAUUUUG